UUGCAGAUGAAUGAAUACUGGUGACAGAGUUACGGAAGUCAGGCAGGUGACAGGGUGCUCGACAUCGGUAGGGCCAUCAUGAUGACCGACAGACCAUGAGGUGAUAGAUCCACACUCGUGACCAAUCUGCAGGCAUCAGUGGUUCUAGGCUGGUGGGAGAAGACAACCAAUCAGGCCCAUAACUGCUGCGAUAUCCCACUCUAGCGUGGUCUAAUUAUGAAUCAUAUACAUUCAUGUUUUACAGCGACCAAUAGAUUUUAAUCUCGAUCAUGCCGAAGUGGGGCGUGGCAGUGGUCUACCACUCAACUACCUACCUACAUUUGUGAUGACGGGAUCGGUCCUGCUGCCAUCCUGUCAAGCCCAUUCGAGUGACAAGCCGGAGGUGAUGAGCAGGACAACAAUAUGACGUGAAGAAUCCCCCAACAUCUGCUAGCUCCAUCCCAAGCAUAGAGCAUCCUUAGUAUAGACCAUUUGGGUGCCUGGACCUGAACUUGUAGUAUGUUUAAAAUGGUGCAUUUCUUGUGAAUCGAUAUCUAACUAAUUAUCUGUUGUUCUGAACUAUUGAUAUCUGCCUGCAGCUCCACGAUCACAUUAGAGUGCAUUGGUCUAAACAAAACAAGCUUGACUUCUAUUUGCAUUAUGGAAGACAUUCAUCUAAGCUGUUAGAUAAUGGUGAAGGAAGUGUUAAAAAAUCUUGUUAGUGUAAUGGUUCAUGUAUUUCCGAGACA